GCUUACUUUGUUCAUUCAAAAAAAAAAUUGACAAAUACCAAAGUUUGAAUAUCCUGUCAGUCAAGUAAAAUUGGUGUGCCAUGGCAAACAGUGAUUAGCUCAGCUCAUAGUUCAGUGUUUGAUUAGAACAAAUGGAUAAGUCAUGUUGUUCAACCUAACAGACAAGCACUUUCUAGGAGAUAAUCAUUAUACUUCAGUAUGCAGUACAAACUUCUAUGCCAUUUUCCAUUUUGACACAUAGAAUAGUAAAAAGAUAUACUUUCAAGGGUCAAGAUUUAUUGAUUUCUUUUUCUUUUUUGUUUUCCUUUGGUGAUGCUGGGGCCCAGGGCCUUACACAUAUUUAGCAAGUACAGUACUACUUAGCUACAACCCCAGUCCAAGAGUCAAAAUUUAAUAAAAUUAAUAAUCAUAGUUUCAUCUAGGACUUUGUUAAAGUAAAAUGGUUUUGAAAAAUAAUUUUGCAAGUGAGUGGUAGUGAAGAAUACAGUGAUUAUUGGUUCACUUUGCUGACUCCCUUGAUUUGCUCUGAGGCACAAGCAGCUUUACUGAUCAUUGCUUUUGUACCGUCAUUGCAACUGUCAAUGUACUUGUUCCAGAAUAAAUGAUGAGAUUCAGAAAAGUUAUUGUACACUUUGAACAUUUCAGUACAUGGUGUGUUUGUGGUCAAGUAUUCAUAUAAAAGACUGGAUAAUUAGCUGGUGCUAAUACCAGAUGAAUGUAACCAACAUAGCAAGUCUGAACAGUUCUGUAGAUUUGUCCUUUCUAAGGCAUAAGUGUAAUUUGGCAGGCAAGAUCAGUUUGCAGUUAAAUCUUUAAUUCAGUGAGUAACUGUACCUUUGGAAGUUGACAGUGUGAUGAUUACUCUUGCUGACUUUUCAUGUACAAGGCUUCCAGAAAAAUAAACUACCAGUCUUUAUUGGUUUCUCACCUCUUAUGUUCGUCUCCUCAGCCAACGCAGUACAGUAACUCACCCUUUAAAAUACUGGCUUUUUCAUUUCAAGUGUGAAGAGCUCUUCUAAAUAGUUCUUGGCUUUUCAAAAGUUUGUUACAUUUACAGUUAAUUAUAGUUAUCAACUAGGGGGUGUAGCUCAGUGAUAGAGUGCUUGCCUAGUAUGCAAAAUGCCCUGGGUUCAAUACCCAGCAACAAACACACACAUGCACACACACACACCAUACCACACACACUCAAUUCCUUUUUUAGCAGUCUCGAAGUGGGGUUACAACAUAACUGGGACCAUAAAACUAUUCAAGAUGUUUUAUUGCAUAAAACAUAAUAAGGUAAAUUAUUAACAGUUCUAAAGCCAGGGGAAAGAUAGCAUUGCCAAUUUUAAUUUCUAAUUUAACAGUUUCUUCCAGUCGCUUGGGAAAAGAUCGGUUCUUUUUAUGAGUGACAAAACUCUCUGAUAUGGCAUUUUUAUGUUUUUUUAAGUGUCUUUAGGUAUAGACAGUACAUCUGAGCCUUGAGAAAGUACGUUGUCUAAUCUCCCUUUUUAAAGCAAAAGAUCAGACUCCAGCAUCAUAGAAAUAAGAAUUUUUUUUUUUAAAGAGAAAGAAUUUUUAAUAUUUAUUUUUUAGUUUUUAGCGGACACAACAUCUUUGUUUGUAUGUGGUGCUGAGGAUCGAACCCGGGGCCGCACGCAUGCCAGGUGAGCGUGCUACCGCUUGAGCCACAUCCCCAGCCCAGAAAUAAGAAUUUUAAUCUCUCCUCACCUAUGAUGACUUUGGACAAAUUCUUAUUUAUUUAUUUAUUUUUUUGUAAAUAGUUUUUGUGCACCAGGAAUCUGGAAGUGGCACUGGAGUUCUGGCUCAAGGUUUCUCAUGAAAUUACAAACAAUAUUAUCGACUGAAUCAUCUGAAGGCUGUGCGUAGUUCCAGGAUCUGCUUUCAGAGUAGCCACUGAAAUGACUGGCAAGUUGGUGCUGCCAUUGCCCUAAGUAGACUUUUCCAGACAGUGUUCUCAUAACAUGGUGGCUUUCUUCCCCAGAGUGAAUAUUCAACCGUAAUGGAUUAGAACAAUGGGGGUGUUAUAUCAUUAAACCUAAUAGACUAAAUGAAAUUUAUACUUCAACAUUUAAAUGAAGCAAAAUAUAUCUAAACUUUCUUCUUACAGCGAUGUCAACAAAACCCAUUCCUGACCAUGUCGGGGAGAGUUUCUGAGAAUUGGGGGUUGUGGUCUUCUCAAACAGUACUACUGCUUUGGUAUUUCAUGGAAAAUUUGUUUAUUGUGAAACAUUACUCAUUCAUUGACUAUAUUAAGUUCUCCAGAGACCAUGAUUCUUGUCACUAGAUAGGGCCUGAGGAGGUCUUCAGAAGCGAAAAGGGGACUUCAAAUCAGCCCUGGAAGUUUCCCCAGAAAGGAAUUUCAGGAUGUGUGAAAAGAGGUUCAAGUAAAGAUUUAUUCAAGAAAGCAAAUAAUAGAGUGAGAUAUGUGCUCAAAGGGAGAGACUGCUGGUACUGAAGAUUGAGACACACUUUUGGGGUCUCAGGCAUCUUCUUUUUUUUUUAAUUUUUUAUUGUUGGUUGUUCAAAACAUUACAUAGUUCUUGAUAUAUCAUAUUUCACACUUUGAUUCAAGUGGGUUAUGAACUCCCAUCUUUACCCCAUAUACAGAUUGCAGAAUCACAUCAGUUACACAUCCAUUGAUUUACAUAUUGCCAUACUAGUGUCUGUUGUGUUCUGCUGCCUUUCCUAUCCUCUACUAUCCCCCCUCCCCUCCCCUCCCCUCUUCUCUCUCUACCUCCUCUACUGUCAUUCAU
rnacentral:lncRNA from 1 species